AGUGCGAUAGGGGGAUCCCAAGUGCACAGGCAUAGCGCCUGUGCUUUUCGGCACCCUAAGGCGGUGCCAGAAUAAGGGCUGGGCAAGACCGGUGCCAGCCGCCGCGGUAAUACCGGCAGCCCAAGUGAUGGCCGAUCUUAUUGGGCCUAAAGCGUCCGUAGCUGGCCGCGCAAGUCCAUCGGGAAAUCCACCUGCUCAACAGGUGGGCGCCCGGUAGAAACUGCGUGGCUUGGGACCGGAAGGCGCGACGGGUACGUCCGGGGUAGGAGUGAAAUCCCGUAAUCCUGGACGGACCGCCGAUGGCGAAAGCACGUCGCGAGAACGGAUCC
rnacentral:rRNA from 1 species